rnacentral:ncRNA from 1 species
GAAUUUGAUUUAAGUUAAUUUUUUAUUUUAUAAACUGUUUUAUAGGAAUCAUUUUAAUUUCUAGUGACUGUCCUUGGACAAAACUUUGUUUCAGACUGUAAAGAUAAAGCUUGUGCCAGCAUUCGCGGUCAUACUUUCUUUAUAAAAAUUUUUAUUCAUCUCAAAAUUUUUAUGUUUUCAUUAUUCCCUUUUAAGGUGAAAUUUUUAGGGUUACAAAACUUUUUGACGGUGUGUAACUUAAUUCAAACUAGGAUUAGAUACCCUAUUAUUUUGGGGUACGUAAGGUAAUUAUUGUUUUACAAAAAACCUAUUAUUUCUGGCGGUUCAUUUUUCUCUUAGAGGAACUUGUUGAUCUAAAUUGAUACCCCGCAUUUAAGUUUACCUUCCUUAUACUAUGUGUACGUCUGUUUUGUUUUAAAUUUUAUUUUUUUACCUCAAAAUUUUUGUUUCUCAUUUCAGGUCAAUGUGCAGGACAUAGGUAGGUUUCUUUGAGUUACCUUAAUUGGAUUUUUAAUUUAUUAUAAAUAAAAAUGGAUUUACCAGUAAGCUUAUAUUUAAACUUUAAGCUGGUGGGGAUUUUUAUGGGAGUACAUAUCGCCCGUCGUUCUUUUUGAUAGAUAAGUCGUAACAAAGUAGAAGUACUUGAAGGUGCUUCUUGUUUAAAUA